rnacentral:lncRNA from 1 species
AGUCAUCUGAGUGAGAAGAAGCACAGGAGCUGCUCUGUGGACACUUUCCCAGACAAAAUGGAUUGAAUUUGCCAGGAGAGGUAUUCACAGCAGUGUAUCCUCAGGACCUAAUUGCUGGUGUAUUUUCAGGAGACAGCUGAGUGAAGAGGCCAAGAGCUGCUGAAAAAUUUCCACUUAAAGGGCUUUCCUGUUUCCUUCAUCGUCAUCACUGGAUUCUGCAGAUCUUUUGGGCUAGCACUUAUUUCAGAUAACAGUAUAGUACCUGGCAUUCAGUGUUUGGUGUUCUCAGGAGGCAACAUCUCAAACUGGUUUUUGCUGUUCAUCUAACAUUUGUACAGAAGAUUGUCCUUGAAGAAGCAUGGCUAUUUGCAUGUCCAGGUGAAUGAUUUUUCCCUCACAUCCUAACAUUUGUGACAGAAGGAUUGCUUGACCAUCUCAUAUGUAUUGACUUAUCUGGAAGUCAAUGAGAGUUUUAGUAGGCAAGGAGAGAAAAUAUUUUUAAAAUAAU